AUCCUCUCUUCCUUCUCAUUCUAGCCAUCUUGUGUUGGCCGGUGGAGGGAGAUUUGAGGGUGUUUGGAGACGUGAACAGUAGCGUGAAUAGUGAUGCCGAGUUCUUGAUAUUUUUGGGUUUGAAUUUCGACUUUUCUGCUUGUUUUUGGUGGCUGUUGCAGGACGUACUGAGCCCUCGAGCGAGGAGGACACAGGCAGGCAGCAGGGUUAGCUGCGGG